rfam:Raoultella planticola strain GCSL-DIFS-295 CFSAN029441_contig1358, whole genome shotgun sequence.
AACCCCCUGAAAUCUGCUAUCAACUUGGCGGGAGAUUCAGAAAUCAGGGGGUCCAAAAGCAGGCGCUGGCCUGUUAAGGAUUAUAGCAAAUGCAUAUUCUAACACAACCCCUACUCGCCAUAAGU